rnacentral:rRNA from 1 species
GGGAUCCCCCACACUGGUACUGAGACACGGACCAGACUCCUACGGGAGGCAGCAGUGAGGAAUAUUGGACAAUGGUCGGAAGACUGAUCCAGCCAUGCCGCGUGCAGGAAGACGGCCCUAUGGGUUGUAAACUGCUUUUCUACAGGAAGAAUGAUACCCUCGUGAGGGUAGUUGACGGUACUGUAGGAAUAAGGACCGGCUAACUCCGUGCCAGCAGCCGCGGUAAUACGGAGGGUCCGAAGCGUUAUCCGGAAUCAUUGGGUUAAAGGGUCCGUAGUGGGGCUCUAAGUCAGAGGUGAAGGUUGCGUCACUGUAGAACGCCUUUGAACUGGAGCUCUGAUCAUGUUGCUGUGGCGGAACUGUGGUGUAGCGGUGACAUGCCUAGAUAUCACAUAGAACACCGAUUGCGAAGGCAGGGUCACAAAACAUGCACUGACACUGAGGGACGAAAGCGUGGGGAGCGAACGGGAUUAGAUACCCCGGUAGUCCACGCUGUAAACGAUGGAUACUAGCUGUUGGACUUCGGUUCGGCGGCCAAGCGAAAGUGAUAAGUAUCCCACCUGGGGAGUACGUUCGCAAGAAUGAAACUCAAAGGAAUUGACGGGGGCCCGCACAAGCGGUGGAGCAUGUGGUUUAAUUCGAUGAUACGCGAGGAACCUUACCAGGGCUUAAAUGGGAGACGACAGGGGGCAGAGACCGCCCUCUUUCUUCGGGAACGUUUUUCAAGGUGCUGCAUGGUUGUCGUCAGCUCGUGCCGUGAGGUGUCANGGUUAAGUCCUAUAACGAGCGCAACCCCUGCCGUUAGUUGCCAGCGAGUAAAGUCGGGGACUCUAACGGGACUGCCGGUGCAAACCGUGAGGAAGGUGGGGACGACGUCAAAUCAUCACGGCCCUUACGUCCUGGGCUACACACGUGCUACAAUGGUCGGUACAAUGGGAAGCUACCCUGUGAGGGGAUGCGGAUCUUAAAAGCCGAUCACAGUUCGGAUCGGGGUCUGCAACUCGACCCCGGAAGCUGGAAUCGCUAGUAAUCGGAUAUCAGCCAUGAUCCGGUGAUACGUUCCCGG